rnacentral:rRNA from 1 species
AUUGAACGCUGGUGGCAUGCUCUACACAUGCAAGUCGAACGGUAACAGGGUGCUUGCACCGCUGACGAGUGGCGAACGGGUGAGUAAUGCGUCGGAACGUGCCGAGUAGUGGGGGAUAACGCAGCGAAAGCUACGCUAAUACCGCAUACGAUCCACGGAUGAAAGCGGGGAUCGCAAGACCUCGCGCGAUUGGAGCGGCCGAUGGCAGAUUAGGUAGUUGGUGGGGUAAAGGCUCACCAAGCCGACGAUCUGUAGCUGGUCUGAGAGGACGACCAGCCACACUGGGACUGAGACACGGCCCAGACUCCUACGGGAGGCAGCAGUGGGGAAUUUUGGACAAUGGGCGCAAGCCUGAUCCAGCCAUUCCGCGUGCAGGAUGAAGGCCCUCGGGUUGUAAACUGCUUUUGUACGGAACGAAAAGGCUCUGGUUAAUACCUGGGGCUCAUGACGGUACCGUAAGAAUAAGCACCGGCUAACUACGUGCCAGCCGCCGCAGUAA